GGGCCGCUGGUCUAGUGGUAUGAUUCUCGCUUAGGGUUACAACCCGAAGUCUUAAAUGUUCUUACAAAAAAAGAAGCAUGCGAGAGGUCCCGGGUUCAAUCCCCGGGUGGCCCC